UGGGACUUCAUAUUUCUAGUGUUCCUGCACU
rnacentral:piRNA from 1 species